CAGCAGCAUCCCCUUCCCUUCUCCCCUUCCCCAGGAAAAGAUGAGUGAGGAUCUCCGCGUUGGAGGAAGAGGGAGUCGAAAGAGGCUUCCACUCUUUGAAAAAGACCCAAUGGUGGUUGGGCUUCGGGUCACGUGACACCUUCUUUGUAGCUCCGGAAGAGGAUUGUGAAGUUUAGGUUUCGUGGAAGAAACCGAUAAUUGAGGAAAAAAAUCAAGAUUUGGGGGGAAUUACCUACAAAGAUGUAAGGUGUGUUAAUUUGGGCGCUUCUUGGAUUCUACCCUGAGGAGGAGGCGCGUGGUGAGAGGAGAGGUCUGUGUAGGUGGGGUGGGGUUCGCAGGGUCCGUGGUGCUGGCUGGGCGCCAUAGGGGGCGCCCCGUUGUAGUCCAGGUUCCCGGAAGGGUGAUGGGAAAGGUGGUUGAGGCCAUAGAGGGAGGGGCCGGCAGGGGGCGGCAGCGGAUCCGCGUAGCCGCCCCCGCCCACGUACACCGGACUGCCCUGCAUGGUGGGCGUCCCGUAGGCGCCCCCGUUGGCUUGGAGGACGUGCGGCUCAUACUCGGGCGCCGGGGUCGGAGGGUACUUCUGCGGGGCGCCGCAGCCUUUGAGAGGGGGCUGGUAGUUGGAGGGCAGCGCGUAGGCAUUCUGGUGGGCUUUACCGAAGGCGGGUGGGGACGGGCUCUCGUAGCUGGGGGUCAUGGAGUGUAAGGCGUUCAUGAAGCCGGCCGUGGACUGCAUGGGCUGCGGGGGGCUGCCGGCUGGAGAUGGGCCCCCCGACGACGAGGCCAAUCCCUUGGCCUUCUGGUCCUUCUUGUACUUCAUGCGCCGGUUCUGGAACCAGAUCUUGAUCUGCCGCUCGCUGAGGUUCAGCAGGUUGGCCAUCUCUACACGGCGAGGCCGGCACAGGUAGCGGUUAAAAUGGAACUCCUUCUCCAGCUCCACCAGCUGUGCGCUCGUGUACGCCGUCCGCGCCCGCUUGGACGCCGCCGACCCCGGGGGGCUCUUGUCCCCUCCCCCGCCGCCGCCGCCACCGCCCCCGCUGCCACCACUGCCUCCGCCGCCGCCGCCACCGCCGCCGCCACCACAGGCCUCUGCUGGAUCCGAGGGGGAGGGGUGGGAAGGGGAGAAAAUGAAAUAAAAGAUAAUUACUGAACACGCCGAAAUUGAAUGCAUCGUUUCUUAAUAAAUCCAGGCCUGGACUCAGAGUCCCCGCCGCCCUCCCCUUCGCGUCCCCGCCUCCUUCUCACUCCCCCACCCCACCGCCCGUCGCAUUAGCGGACACUCUAUAAUAGUGGCAUUUAUUAAGAGACCUGUUCUCCUUUCGCUGCCCCAGCUUAUGAAAAUUUGAUCAUGUCACGCAGACAGAGCCGCACGGCCAUUUAUUUAGGGCUGGAUUUUCGCGUGCGUGCUUUCUCCCCCUUAUCCCCAAUUCCAGGUCAGGGAAGACAUUUCCCCUCCCCGCCCACCCCGUCCUGAGGACAGGAUGGGAGACUGAGGAGAAUCCUCGGGGUAAUCUGGACACUCGUGGGCAGGAAGUGUGGCACGAAGAGGCUGCCGUUUCUGGAGGCCGGGACCCCAGGCCGUCCAAGCGAUUGUGAUUAAUACCCACAGUAAUCAUACUUAAUAAUAAUCAAUCGUUGACGACUCUGCAUCCUCCCGGCAGCGCCUCGUCUUGGCUCUGUGGCCUUGGGAAGGGCUUUGAGGCCACGCACUGGGCCUUCUGGAGCUUUCAGAAGCUCCGGUGGAGGGCAGCUAGAGGGAGGAGGGUGUUGGCGGGGUCAGGGGUCAUUAAGGGGUAGGGGUAUCAAAAAUGUACCCGCCGGCCACCUAAUAUUGUUCCCAGGCAGCCUCGCGGGCGCCUAGGGGCUGGGUGCUAGAAUAACAGUGACAUUCCUGGCUCCGACAAAAGCUGAGGACAAGGAAGGCAGAGAACUGGUACCUGUGCCGGGGGAGUUGUUUUUCAGCUUGGACGUUUGCCUCGACUCUUUCAUCCAGGGGAAUAUCUGUUUGGUGAGGGUGGAGUUGGUGCCGGGACCGCACUUUGGGGGACCACUUUUGCUGGGCCCGCCCCCAUUACUGCUGUUGCUAGUGGCACUGGUAGGUGCGGCACUGGGCGGGGGUGAGCCGGGCGGGGCCGACAGGGGCUCGGGGGCCAGACCCGGCCUCAUGCAGCUGCCGUUGAGCUCCUUGCUCUUGGCAUGUGGGGCAGCGUUGCCCAGGGACUGCAGCGAGCAAGCUGAGCGCUGGUAGUCGCCCUCCAGGUGCGUGGCGGCCUGAAAUGGGGGUUGGGGGGGGCCAUCGAAGCCGAAGCCAUUGCUGCCAGGGUACGAGGAAUAGCCUCCGAAGAGAGCAGCCGCGGCGUUGUCGUAGUAGGUGGCUUUCUGCAUCGCUGGGUGAGGCCUGGGCAGUGGGUGGCAACUUGGAAAGGCCUGAUACCCUCAGGACCGGACAUUGGCAACCCUGGGGGUCACGUGACACGCCGGACCCCCCCCCCCCCCACCUCCCCUCUCGGCCCCCCUCCUCCGGGGUCUGUUCCAAGCGGCUGACCUGCGAGGCGAGAGAAGAGACACAAGGGGGAGAAGAGGACUGGGGCUCGAAUCCAUCUUAGGAACUGAAAAGGGAACUGACAUCAAUAGGGUUUUUUCUUUUCCCCUCCCCAACAUCUCCAAAGCAGAUGCUGAGAAAAAAAAGCCCACCAGUUUUCAUUUCCACUAAAAAAAUUAAAAAAUAAAGACUAUAUGCCUUUCAAGACUGCCUAGAUGUAGAAUCUAUGGCAAAGGCCAUUGCUUCUCUCCUGCCUGUGCACUAGCCCCUGACCUCCCCUAGUCCCUCUCUCCCUAUCUCUCCUCCCCAACUCUGGGAUAGGAUGGCUCAAGGGAGGGGACACUAGGAGACUCCAAAAUAAAAGCAUCAUCAACACCCUCCUCUGAGCCCAGAGGCUUCUAUGCUUCCAGCCUUUGCCUCCUUCCAAGUCGGUUUAGGUCUCUUGCCCAAGCAAAGUCUAGCCUGAAGGAAAACCAAAGGAUCUCCUAAAAGAACAGGCAGGAGAAGCAAGUUCAGCAGAGAAGCUUCUCUUGUGAGGUAUCCUCUCCACUUCCCACCACUCUCCCACCAGGAAGACAACAACAGCCUGACCUAGAAACUUCCUGAUGAUUUUUAACCUCAAGAGCCAGCUGAACCGAGACUCAUCUGUCCAUGGCCCUGCUGCAGGUACCACCACCUCCGGCCCUUGUCUUUGCUCAGCCAAACCUGGGAUCGGGCAGCCAGUGGCCCUGUGGGGCCCCCAGAUGGAGCAGGAUUGUUUCAAUUUCCUGGGCCACGCCAGUUGGUGCUGUGACCAUUUGGCCCAGGUCUCUCCCCGGACCUCUUUUUUUUUUUUUCAUGAGACUUAAUUUUUCCCACCCUUUCCUUCACCGUCUGUUUUCUUUGAUUUCCCCCAAAGCAAAUAAGAAACAAGAAGUUACAACUGCUAGACUUUUCUACUGAGACAGGGAAAGUGCUUUCCAAAAGAGAAAAUUAUUCCUGAGGAAAAAAAAAUUAACAAAGCAAUUUUAACAGUAUUAUUCUCUAGGUUAGAAACAGAGGUAUUCCUGUUGA
rnacentral:lncRNA from 1 species